rnacentral:rRNA from 1 species
UACGUAGGGUGCGAGCGUUAAUCGGAAUUACUGGGCGUAAAGCGUGCGCAGGCGGUGGCUCAAGCCAGGCGUGAAAUCCCCGGGCUUAACCUGGGAAUGGCGUUUGGGACUGGGUCGCUAGAGUGUGGCAGAGGGAGGUGGAAUUCCACGCGUAGCAGUGAAAUGCGUAGAGAUGUGGAGGAACACCGAUGGCGAAGGCAGCCUCCUGGGCCAGC